rnacentral:tRNA from 1 species
GCCCCUAUAGCUCAACGGUAGAGCGAGAUACUGUUAAUAUUUUUAUAAGUGUUCAAUUCACUUUAGGGGCU